CAGAUGGUAGUCUGUACAUCAAGAAGCCGAGGGUUUAUCAACAGAAAAACUGGAAGAGUGUCCAGCAGCAGCUGGGGAGGAAUGAUGGAGGGAGGGGAACUGUAGGAGGCCUGCUGCCAUGCUGAUGUAUUGCUGUCAGCAGGUCUGACCUUUGGUGUGUUGCCUCUCUACCAGCGAUAAAUCAACAAGAGAGAAGCUCCAAUGUGACUAUUGUAAACAUUUUAGGAAAUUUGUCAAAAUUCCCUUGAAGUAUGUUGCCAUGGCAGCGGAGCAACGACCAGGACAUUAAAAAAGCAGCUUUUAUCCACCCAGUGUAUUUCCCUAAAAUGAAAAUCGCCUGCAGCCAGAGAAAGACAAACCCAUGAAGACUCUGAAAUCAAGCUGAUUUCAGGACAUUUCCUCUUGUUGGUGCCCUCCACUCGUUUGUUAGACUCAGCUUGGAGAAAACAGGCCGGCAAACCACAAAGCGGUCAGCACAUUUGUCAUGCAAGCUGUCAAGGUGAUGGAUGGACAAACGCAAGGACCUACCCAUUUUUCAUGGUCAGCACUCUAGUAACAAAC